rnacentral:rRNA from 1 species
AUUGAACGCUGGCGGCAGGCCUAACACAUGCAAGUCGAGCGGACGAAGGGAGCUUGCUCCUGGCUUCAGCGGCGGACGGGUGAGUAAUGCAUAGGAAUCUGCCUGAUAGUGGGGGAUAACGUCCGGAAACGGGAGCUAAUACCGCAUACGUCCUGAGGGAGAAAGUGGGGGAUCUUCGGACAUCACGCUAUCAGAUGAGCCUAGGUCGGAUUAGCUAGUUGGUGGGGUAAAGGCCUACCAAGGCGACGAUCCGUAACUGGUCUGAGAGGAUGAUCAGUCACACUGGAACUGAGACACGGUCCAGACUCCUACGGGAGGCAGCAGUGGGGAAUCUUGGACAAUGGGCGAAAGCCUGAUCCAGCCACGCCGCGUGUGUGAAGAAGGUCUUCGGAUUGUAAAGCACUUUAAGUUGGGAGGAAGAGCAGUAUGUUAAUACCUGGCUGUUUUGACGGUACCAACAGAAUAAGCACCGGCUAACUUCGUG